rnacentral:lncRNA from 1 species
UAAGAUAUGGUAGAUAUGCAAAAUAUCAGCAAUACUAAACUGAUACACAAAGGAUCCCCGUACUUCAUCAAAAUAUCAAUGUUGUCCAUGACACACAAAGAACCCAGCUGUAGUUUAAUUCAGCAUCACAGUCCCAACAUGUUUUAAAACAUGUUCCAGCUUUUGGUCCCAGGAUUAUUCAACCUAGCUCAUAAAAGAAAACAAUAUUGCAUUUCUAAGUAUUGGCUCCUAGAAUUGGCAAGUUUAGUCAAGAAAAGCUGGAAUGCCGUUAAAACAACACCCUGUCAUCUUUCAAUCAGUCCUUAGCUGAAGUUAAAAUCCCACUCAUUCUGCAUGAUCCAGCCUCUGUAGCAUAGAGUGAGUAGCCCCUUAACAAGAACCAAAAUGGAGGGUACGGAUGAGGCUCAGAUCGUCACCACCUGGAGAAUAGAGACAGUGACUGAGUCACCAGGAAAUCUGUCCCCUGCUCAUCCCAGAAUCCCCGAGCUUUGACUUUUUAAGAGAACAUGUGACAGAUAAUGCCAUCUGAGAAGAUUCACAGAGCAACCAAAUAAAGAUGAUUGAGUGAAUGGCUAAAGAAAUAAAUAUGUUCGAAUCUGUACCCAUCUCAUGUCUUUCCUGAUGAUUGCCUCCUUUACUGUAUGUUUUCCACUGAGAUGAAGAUUUUGGUCAUUUCCUCAUUCAUGUUCCUGCUUUUCAAAACCCAAGCAAGAAAGGAAACUUCUACAGUGACUUUCUCAUUAUGAAAUCUUAGCAUUCACUAGUCGGCCAUAAUGGAAAACCAGCCAAAUGGACACAUAUACACUGGUCUGUACCCGCAGAGAAAGAAAUGCAAAUCUCUGUGAUCAGAAAACUAUCCUAUCUUGUACAUUGUUAAAAGUCUGCCUCCAAAAAGUUUACUUCUGGAAUACUGUAAUUGAAUAGAAUCAGGGAUCCUACCUGUGUCCUUCAACUUUCACAUCUUGUCUACUCAAGUAAGGGUUGAAUUUGCAUGACUAUAUCUAAGGUUCGAGGGCUUACCUGUUGGCAGUAGACCCAGUAGUCUAUGAAUGGAAAUGGGCAAACCUGUGACCUCCCAAAACUUUAAUAUGAAAGUUUUGUUUGUGUAUACUCAUGGCAUUAUUCUUUUAAUAAAGAGAUAAUC